rnacentral:rRNA from 1 species
UACGUAGGGUCCGAGCGUUGUCCGGAAUUAUUGGGCGUAAAGGGCUCGUAGGCGGUUUGUCGCGUCGGGAGUGAAAACACCGGGCUUAACUCGGUGCUUGCUUUCGAUACGGGCAGACUGGAGGUAUGCAGGGGAGAACGGAAUUCCUGGUGUAGCGGUGAAAUGCGCAGAUAUCAGGAGGAACACCGGUGCGAAGGCGGUUCUCUGGGCAUUACCUGACGCUGAGGAGCGAAAGUGUGGGGAGCGAACAGG